UACGUAGGGUGCAAGCGUUAAUCGGAAUUACUGGGCGUAAAGCGUGCGCAGGCGGUUGUGCAAGACAGAUGUGAAAUCCCCGGGCUCAACCUGGGAAUUGCAUUUGUGACUGCACGGCUAGAGUGUGUCAGAGGGGGGUAGAAUUCCACGUGUAGCAGUGAAAUGCGUAGAGAUGUGGAGGUAUACCGAUGGCGAAGGCAGCCCCCUGGGAUAACACUGACGCUCAUGCACGAAAGCGUGGGGAGCAAACAGG
rnacentral:rRNA from 1 species